GUUGCUAAUACCGCAUAAUGCAGCGGCACCUAAUGGUGACAGUUGUUAAAGCGGGGGAUCGCAAGACCUCGCGUCUGAAGAGGAGCCUGCGGCAGAUUAGCUAGUUGGUAAGGUAAAGGCUUACCAAGGCGAUGAUCUGUAGCCGGCCUGAGAGGGCGGUCGGCCACACUGACACUGACAUACGGGUCAGACUCCUACGGGAGGCAGCAGUCGGGAAUUUUGGGCAAUGGGCGAAAGCCUGACCCAGCAACGCCGCGUGAAGGAUGAAAUCCCUCGGGAUGUAAACUUCGCAAGAACGGGAGGAAUAAGUAAGAGUUAAUAUCUCUUAUGAUGACGGUACUGUUUGUAAGCUCCGGCUAACUCCGUGCCAGCAGCCGCGGUAAUACGGGGGGAGCAAGCGUUGUUCGGAUU
rnacentral:rRNA from 1 species